rnacentral:rRNA from 1 species
UGGGGAAUUUUGGACAAUGGGCGCAAGCCUGAUCCAGCCAUGCCGCGUGCGGGAAGAAGGCCUUCGGGUUGUAAACCGCUUUUGUCAGGGAAGAAAUCUUCUGAGUUAAUACCUCGGGAGGAUGACGGUACCUGAAGAAUAAGCACCGGCUAACUACGUGCCAGCAGCCGCGGUAAUACGUAGGGUGCAAGCGUUAAUCGGAAUUACUGGGCGUAAAGCGUGCGCAGGCGGUUUUGUAAGACAGAGGUGAAAUCCCCGGGCUCAACCUGGGAACUGCCUUUGUGACUGCAAGGCUUGAGUGCGGCAGAGGGGGAUGGAAUUCCGCGUGUAGCAGUGAAAUGCGUAGAUAUGCGGAGGAACACCGAUGGCGAAGGCAAUCCCCUGGGCCUGCACUGACGCUCAUGCACGAAAGCGUGGGGAGCAAACAGGAUUAGAUAGCCCCUGGUAGUCCACGCCCUAAAACCGAUGUCAACUGGUUGUUGGGAAGGUUCCUUCUCAGUAACGUAGCUAACGCGUGAAGUUGACCGCCUGGGGAGUACGGCCGCAAGGUUGAAAC